AACCUGCGGAGGGAUCAUUACCGAGUUUACAACUCCCAAACCCCUGUGAACAUACCAAUUGUUGCCUCGGCGGAUCAGCCCGCUCCCGGUAAAACGGGACGGCCCGCCAGAGGACCCCUAAACUCUGUUUCUAUAUGUAACUUCUGAGUAAAACCAUAAAUAAAUCAAAACUUUCAACAACGGAUCUCUUGGUUCUGGCAUCGAUGAAGAACGCAGCAAAAUGCGAUAAGUAAUGUGAAUUGCAGAAUUCAGUGAAUCAUCGAAUCUUUGAACGCACAUUGCGCCCGCCAGUAUUCUGGCGGGCAUGCCUGUUCGAGCGUCAUUUCAACCCUCAAGCCCCCGGGUUUGGUGUUGGGGAUCGGCGAGCCCUUGCGGCAAGCCGGCCCCGAAAUCUAGUGGCGGUCUCGCUGCAGCUUCCAUUGCGUAGUAGUAAAACCCUCGCAACUGGUACGCGGCGCGGCCAAGCCGUUAAACCCCCAACUUCUGAAUGUACCUCGGAUCAGGUAGGAAUACCCGCUGAACUUAAGCAUAUCAAUAAGCCGGAGGAA
rnacentral:rRNA from 1 species